rnacentral:rRNA from 1 species
GUCUACGGCCACACCACCCUGAAUGUGCCCAGUCUCGUCUGACAUUGGAAGCCAAGCAGGGUUGGGCCCGGUUAGCACUUGGAUAGGAGGAAGCACAACUCAAAACUGGCUUAAUCAAUAAAAGGAAUCUAUUGGUC